ACGUUAGCGGCGGACGGGUGAGUAACACGUGGGUAACCUACCUAUAAGACUGGGAUAACUUCGGGAAACCGGAGCUAAUACCGGAUAAUAUUUCGAACCGCAUGGUUCGAUAGUGAAAGAUGGUUUUGCUAUCACUUAUAGAUGGACCCGCGCCGUAUUAGCUAGUUGGUAAGGUAACGGCUUACCAAGGCGACGAUACGUAGCCGACCUGAGAGGGUGAUCGGCCACACUGGAACUGAGACACGGUCCAGACUCCUACGGGAGGCAGCAGCC
rnacentral:rRNA from 1 species